GUGGGGCCAGUCUCUAGGGUGGGCUGCCUGCCCUGGCUGAGCUGGAUUAAAUUGGUUCUCUAGCGGGUGGAGCAGACCCUGGGCUAGCAGGCCUCAGGGGGAACUCCAAUGGCGUCUGUGUUAGCACGCUCACACCAGGCCACAACAAUGGCCGCCGCCAAUGUCCCAGUCCCUGGAGAGGUCUCACCCCUCACCGAGAUGCACUCAGGGCCUGUUAGGUGGAGAAAGUGAAGAGAAUCAUCUUCAUUAUCUUGACAUCAAAAGUGGGCAGCAAGUUCUUAAUACCACUGGAAAAAAUAAAUACCCAGAAGUUGAAUUCCUGGAUCAUAUGGUAAUUCUGUUUUUUAAUUUUUUGAGGAGCCUCCAUACUGUUUCCCAUAGCGGCUGCACCAAUUUAUAUUCCCACCAACUAUGCACAAGGGUUCUCUUGUCGCCACAUCCUCACCAACACUUGUAAUUUCCUGUCUUUUUGAUAAUAGGUGUGAGAUGAUAUCUCACUGUGAUUUUGAUUUUCAUUUCCCUAAUGAUUAAUGAUGUUGAACAUCUUUUUAUGUACCUGUUGGCCAUUUGUAUGUCUUUCUUGGAAAAAUCUCUAUUCAGUGCCUCUGCCCAUUUUUUAAUCAGAUUUCUUUUCCUAUUAAGUUUAUAUAUUUUGGAUUUUAACCCUUUAUCAUAUAUAUGAUUUGAAAAUAUUUUCUCCCAUUCCAUAGGUUGCCUUUUCAUUUUGUUGAUGGUUUUCUUUGCUGUGCAGAAGCUUUUUAGUUAGCUUUUUAGUUUUAUUUGAUUUGUAAAUAGAUGAGGCUGUGUUACAUUUUGUUAGUGACAUACAUACAAAAUGAUUGUUUACCAUAUAUUAAGCAAAGCAAUUGAAGGCAGGAGAAAUUGACAAGCCCAUGGAACAGAUGAAUUUCAAAGCAGCAAGAGGGUGGUAUGAUCCAUUCAUGCACUGUACAGGAUUAUGUUGAUAUGGCAUCAUAUAUCACUGUGUCAGAAACUUCCUGCUGACUUUAAAUAGAGGCUGCUUAACCUCUAGUCACAUGCAAUUCAGUGAGAAAGAAUAAUGAAAUAUUGUGUCAUAGUUAAGUGUUUUUCUUUCUUAGAGGUACAUGAAAUAAUGAUAUAUCUUACAUUAGAUGGCAUCUAGAUUUAAUGAAU